AACGCUGGCGGCGUGCUUAACACAUGCAAGUCGAACGAUGAUCCCAGCUUGCUGGGGGAUUAGUGGCGAACGGGUGAGUAACACGUGAGUAACCUGCCCUUAACUCUGGGAUAAGCCUGGGAAACUGGGUCUAAUACCGGAUAUGACUCCUCAUCGCAUGGUGGGGGGUGGAAAGCUUUUUGUGGUUUUGGAUGGACUCGCGGCCUAUCAGCUUGUUGGUGAGGUAAUGGCUUACCAAGGCGACGACGGGUAGCCGGCCUGAGAGGGUGACCGGCCACACUGGGACUGAGACACGGCCCAGACUCCUACGGGAGGCAGCAGUGGGGAAUAUUGCACAAUGGGCGCAAGCCUGAUGCAGCGACGCCGCGUGAGGGAUGACGGCCUUCGGGUUGUAAACCUCCAUCAGUAGGGAAGAAGCGUAAGUGACGGUACCUGCAGAAGAAGCGCCGGCUAACUACGUGCCA
rnacentral:rRNA from 1 species